UACGGAGGGUGCAAGCGUUAUCCGGAUUCACUGGGUUUAAAGGGUGCGUAGGAGGGCAGGUAAGUCAGUGGUGAAAUCUUCGAGCUUUAACUUGGAACUGCCGUUGAUACUAUCUGUCUUGAAUACCGUGGAGAUGAGCGGAAUAUGUCAUGUAGCGGUGAAAUGCUUAGAUAUGACAUAGAACACCAAUUGCGAAGGCAGCUCGUUACACGAAUAUUGACUCUGAGGCACGAAAGCGUGGGGAUCAAACAGG
rnacentral:rRNA from 1 species